rnacentral:lncRNA from 1 species
GCCUUUGGAACUCAGAGGUGCGCAGACAUACCCGAUGCACUGGCCUAACUGCAACAGUUGUUUAACACAGAGUUUUGCCACCAAAAUCUGACAGCCAAGAAUAUGAAGCUGCUUCUGCUGCCCCGUGUGUGCUCGGUGACCUGAAGGCAAUCUAGCCAAGGCUCUCCUGAGCAGUUCCCAAGCCAUUCUUGCUCUCAUGCUUUGCUGCUCCAGGAAGAAAGGGCAAUUCUUGGAUCACCAUAGCC